rnacentral:rRNA from 1 species
UACGUAGGGUGCAAGCGUUGUCCGGAAUUAUUGGGCGUAAAGAGCUCGUAGGCGGUUUGUUGCGUCGGCUGUGAAAUCCCGAGGCUCAACCUCGGGUCUGCAGUCGAUACGAGCAAACUAGAGUGUUGCAGGGGAGACUGGAAUUCCUGGUGUAGCGGUGAAAUGCGCAGAGUAUCAGGAGGAACGCCGGUGGCGAAGGCGGGUCUCUGGGCAACAACGUGACGCUGGAGGAGCGAAAGCCGUGGGGGAGCGAAAUGGG